rnacentral:rRNA from 1 species
AUACGGAGGGUGCGAGCGUUGUUCGGAAUCACUGGGCGUAAAGGGCGCGCAGGCGGUCUGUCAAGUCAGAUGUGAAAGCCCACGGCUCAACCGUGGACGUGUAUCUGAAACUGGCAGACUCGAGUACCGGAGGGGAAAGUGGAAUUCCCGGUGUAGAGGUGAAAUUCGUAGAUAUCGGGAGGAAUACCGGAGGCGAAGGCGACUUUCUGGACGGAUACUGACGCUGAGGCGCGAAAGCGUGGGGAGCGAACAGGAUUAGAAACCCCAGUAGUCC